GCGUUUGAGAGAUGGAGUGACACAGAAGGAUAAGCGAACCCGGCCAUUGGAAGAGCCGGGGCAAGCAGUGAGACUGGAAAGAGAGGCAAAUCCCUUUUUCCCCAAGGUCAAGCUGUGAUGCGGAACGAAAAAUAAGUAGGGAAGUCGCCGAUUUCACGCUGUCAAGAAAAGCUUCUAUCGAGCAAAGAGGUACCCGUACCGUAAACCGACACAGGUAGGCGAGGAGAGAAUCCUAAGAUGAGCGGGAGAAGUGUUGUUAAGGAACUCGGCAAAAUGACUCCGUAACUUCGGGAGAAGGAGUGCCCCCUCGGGGGCCGCAGAGAAGAGGCUCAAGCGACUGUUUAGCAAAAACACAGGUCUCUGCUAAAUCGAAAGAUGACGUAUAGGGGCUGACGCCUGCCCGGUGCUGGAAGGUUAAGGGGAGUGCUUAGCGCAAGCGAAGGUGCGAACUUAAGCCCCAGUAAACGGCGGCCGUAACUAUAACGGUCCUAAGGUAGCGAAAUUCCUUGUCAGGUAAGUUCUGACCCGCACGAAAGGCGUAACGAUUUGAGCGCUGUCUCGACAACACACCCGGUGAAAUUGUAGUACUCGUGAAGAUGCGAGUUACCCGCGACAGGACGGAAAGACCCCGUAGAGCUUUACUGUAGUCUGGCAUUGAGUUUUGAUAUAACAUGUACAGGAUAGGUGGGAGGCAGAGAAGCAUGCACGCCAGUGUGUGCCGAGCCAUUGUUGGGAUACCACUCUUGUUAUAUUGGAAUUCUAACGCGUUGCCGUCAACCGGCAAGCGGACAGUGUCAGAUGGGCAGUUUGACUGGGGCGGUCGCCUCCUAAAAAGUAUCGGAGGCGCCCAAAGUUACCCUCAGGAUGGUUGGAAACCAUCUGUAAGAGUGCAAAGGCAGAAGGGUGAUUGACUGCGAGAGAGACAUCUCGAGCAGAGACGAAAGUCGGGCUUAGUGAUCCGGUGGUUCCGAGUGGAAGGGCCAUCGCUCAACGGAUAAAAGCUACCUCGGGGAUAACAGGCUUAUCUCCCCCAAGAGUCCACAUCGACGGGGAGGUUUGGCACCUCGAUGUCGGCUCGUCUCAUCCUGGGGCUGAAGCAGGUCCCAAGGGUUGGGCUGUUCGCCCAUUAAAGAGGCACGCGAGCUGGGUUCAGAACGUCGUGAGACAGUUCGGUCCCUAUCCGUCGUGGGCGUAAGAUAUUUGAAAGGAGCUGUUCCUAGUACGAGAGGACCGGAAUGGACAAACCGCUGGUGCACCAGUUGUUCCGCCAGGAGCAUCGCUGGGUAGCUAAGUUUGGAAGGGAUAAGUGCUGAAGGCAUCUAAGCACGAAGCCCCCCUUAAGAUAAGAUAUCUCAUUCGAAAGAAGUAAGGCCUCUGGAAGACGACCAGGUAGAUAGGCUGGAGGUGGAAGUGCAGCAAUGUAUGGAGCUGACCAGUACUAAUCGGCCGAGGUCUUGAUCCCA
rnacentral:rRNA from 1 species